GCCGGAAUAGCUCAAUUGGUAGAGCAACUGACUUGUAAUCAGUAGGUUACGGGUUCGAUUCCUGUUUCCGGCACCA
rnacentral:tRNA from 2 species